rnacentral:rRNA from 1 species
GUGCCAGCAGCCGCGGUAAUUCCAGCUCCAAUAGCGUAUAUUAAAGUUGUUGUGGUUAAAAAGCUCGUAGUUGAACCUUGGGCCUGGCUGGCCGGUCCGCCUCACCGCGUGCACUGGUCCGGCCGGGCCUUUCCCUCUGUGGAACCCCAUACCCUUCACUGGGCGUGGCGGGGAAACAGGACAUUUACUUUGAAAAAAUUAGAGUGCUCCAGGCAGGCCUAUGCUCGAAUACAUUAGCAUGGAAUAAUAAAAUAGGACGCGCGGUUCUAUUUUGUUGGUUUAUAGGACCGCCGUAAUGAUUAAUAGGGACAGUCGGGGGCAUCAGUAUUCAACUGUCAGAGGUGAAAUUCUUGGAUCAGUUGAAGACUAACUACUGCGAAAGCAUUUGCCAAGGAUGUUUUCAUUAAUCAGGAACGAAAGUUAGGGGGAUCGAAGACGAUCAGAUACCGUCGUAGUCUUAACCAUAAACUAUGCCGACUAGGGAUCGGACGGUGUUAUUCAUGACCCGUUCGGCACCUUACGAGAAAUCAAAGUGCUUGGGCUCCAGGGGGAGUAUGGGUCGCAAGGCUGAAACUUAAAGAAAUUGACGGAAGGGCACCACCAGGGUGGAGCCUGCGGCUUAAUUUUGACUCAACACGGGGAAACUCACCAGGUCCAGACACAAUAAAGGAUUGACAGAUUGAGAGCUCUUUCUUGAUUUUGUGGGUGGUGUUGCAUGGCCGUUCUUAGUUAGGUGGGGUGACUUUGUCUGCUUAAUUGCGAUAACGAACGAGACCUUAACCUGGCUAAAUAGCCCGCAUCGCUUCCGGCAGUGCGCUGGCUUUCUUAGAGGGACUUUUCGGGUCUCCAGGCC